AUUGAACGCUGGCGGCAUGCCUUACACAUGCAAGUCGAACGGCAGCGCGGGGCAACCUGGCGGCGAGUGGCGAACGGGUGAGUAAAAUAUCGGAACAUACCCUAGAGUGGGGGAUAACGUAGCGAAAGUUACGCUAAUACCGCAUACGCACUAAGGUGGAAAGUGGGGGAUCUUCGGACCUCAUGCUCAUGGAGUGGCCGAUAUCUGAUUAGCUAGUUGGUGAGGUAAAGGCUCACCAAGGCGACGAUCAGUAGCUGGUUUGAGAGAACGACCAGCCACACUGGAACUGAGACACGGUCCAGACUCCUACGGGAGGCAGCAGUGGGGAAUUUUGGACAAUGGGGGCAACCCUGAUCCAGCAAUGCCGCGUGAGUGAAGAAGGCCUC
rnacentral:rRNA from 1 species